rnacentral:rRNA from 1 species
CCUACGGGUGGCAGCAGUGGGGAAUAUUGGGCAAUGGGCGCAAGCCUGACCCAGCAACGCCGCGUGAAGGAAGAAGGCUUUCGGGUUGUAAACUUCUUUUAUCAGGGACGAAGCAAGUGACGGUACCUGAUGAAUAAGCGACGGCUAACUACGUGCCAGCAGCCGCGGUAAUACGUAGGGGGCAAGCGUUAUCCGGAUUUACUGGGUGUAAAGGGCGUGUAGGCGGGAGAGCAAGUCAGAUGUGAAAACCGUGGGCUCAACCUGUGGCCUGCAUUGGAAACUGUUUUUCUGGAGUACUGGAGAGGCAGACGGAAUUCCUAGUGUAGCGGUGAAAUGCGUAGAUAUUAGGAGGAACACCAGUGGCGAAGGCGGUCUGCUGGACAGCAACUGACGCUGAGGCGCGAAAGCGUGGGGAGCAAACAGGAUUAGAUACCCCUGUAGUC